GUUGCUUCAUUUCUACCUGCUGUGCUCAUUGUUAGGCCUCUAGCCAAGUUUCCACAUAAUAAUGGAUGAGUAUACAAGACCCUAGACAUUUUCAUAGUCUUUAUUUAAGACUUCUCCCUUCUAUGUCUCAAGAAGGACAAAUUUACCUAGCUAUUUUAUCACCUGGAAUCUUGAAAUUAAAGGGUAGACUUAUUAACAUGAUCAUCAAUCUUGUUUUUUGUUUCCUCAUAUUUUAAGACACUUUGCCAAAUGAAACAGAGCUCCUCAAAAAGAUGUUAUGACCCUGGCAUGUAAUUAUGAUUUACUGGUAAGAUUUUUAAAAGGAGACAUUAACUGCUGCCUACCUUGGUCCACCUCUGAGCUUAUCUUCCCUGCACAUUAAUCGCCACAUUUGAGUGCAAUUUGUUUAUAUUUUUCAUUUACCUCUCCUGUGCCCUAAUUUUUCAUCUCUGCAGAUGUUGAUCAUUUUACCCUCUGACAGAUUUCUCUGCAUUCUCCUUAUGAGUUGAUGUCUAGACAGAUAACUGUUAUUAAAAGUUUAGGGGAAAUUGUUGUUUUGGAAUAAACAGUCUCUGUUUAAGCUUUAAAAAGUCAACUCAUUUGUCAUUCAUACAAGAUGAACAUUGAGUUUUUUGUACCAGUGUCACUUGGUAACACAGAAAUAGGAACUAGACUGUUAUAAAUAAUUAGAUAUUUGCUAUCUAGUGCAAGUUAAAGCCCAGUUCACCAUAAAAGAGUGACACUAUAUUAUUAAAGAUGCAUAUACUGAGAGGAUAUAUGAAUGACACACUUAUAGGCAAACAUUCUGAGAUGGCACAAUUAUUUUAAAAUUACAACAUAAAUCCUUUCUGAAAGAAUUUUGGUGCAUACAGAAUGUGGAUUAUCUUCUAACCAUGAUAUCUCUCAAUUCUUUCAUGUUUAAUUUUUAAAACUCUAUGGAAAAACAGGAAAUUUAGUUUCUUUAAACUAAAAGUCAAUAUUUUUCUUAAGAACUCUAAGGUAGCAUCUACUCUAAAUAUCUGAAUCCCUUUCUCCUUACUGAACACUUCUUCGAGUCUCUGAACUGUUUUACUGUGUUCUUACCAACACACAAAAUAAAAUGCUUUUGCUCAGAAUAAGUGUUCAAUUAAUGUUACAUCAACAGGUCAUUCAAGAUUACGGAAGUCCAAAAUUAUGGAGGGUCAUCAACUGAAUGGCUAUGGAUCAUGGUUUCUUCUGGCUUCCCUGUUGUAAAGCCCUCUCUACAAGAGGUUGAAAGCAUUCCAUGGGCUCCACUUUGAAUUCUACCCCUGAGAUAGGAUCUUCAGAAAACAUACUGAUCCCUCCUCUAAAAUUCUUUGUCCUGCUGUUUGCCAACCACUCUCUGGACUUCCAUCCUUCAAAACUCAGUUUCUUGCUAUCUCUGGGGGGUGUUUUCUUCUGAAAUUCAAAAAGGAAAAUCCUGGGGAAGACCUCAAAGGAUGCAACUGGAAUGAGCCACUUGAGAUAAACAAACACAUUGGCGCUCCCAGCUUAGGGAAAACAUUGGAGACAGUCUCAUUCAUCAUUCCUUGGGAGAACUGGAUCAUCCUCACCUUUGAUCUCACAGUGUCACUGUUGUUCUUGAUAGGAGCACAGCCUUCAACACAAAAUUUGAUAUCUGAUCUACUCCCAGCCUAACGCCUUACCUACUGUCUUUGAAGGGCUAGAAUAAAAAUGAACAGUACACUGGAGCUUUUAGUUAGUGAACUGUUGAGGAUUUCUCUCUCCCGUAGUACUUAGACGCACAAAAGGUAGUGUUAGACUCAGAUCCACUCUAGCUUUCCCACUUCCUAGCAGUGAGACCUUGCAAAGGUAACUUUAGUCCUUUGAACUGAUCCAAGCCUGAAAUUAGGGCACUGGUAAGAUAAGAUUCUCUAUCUCACAGAAUUGUGAAGAAUAAAUGAGCUGCUGCUGCAUAUUAUUUAGUGUACUAACUGAAUGCUGCCGAGAGUUGUUCCCACCACCAAGUGUUGUGAUAACUGUUAUCGUAUCAAAUAACUUGGGUUUCUAUCUGUGUGGCUAUUACAGUAAGUCUCUGGGAUGCUGUAUUGGCCACAGUUUAGGGAGAGCAAUUUACUAGACAUGUUUCCUCAUAUUUUUAGACCCACUUAUUUUGCCCAAAGUUACUGUGUCUUUUGUAAACAUAGCCUGCUUAAAAGUUAGGCACAGCACAUGCAAACUUCUUAACUAAUAGAGACUGAACUACUAAUCAUGUCGCUAAUCUCAGUAGACAUUUUCCCUUAAUAACUGCAAGAGUCCACUCCUCAAGUGGUCCACAGCUGAGAUUUGAAUGGAAAUCUCCCCUUUGUUACCUACUGAAACAAUACAUAAAACCAUAAUAUAUAAAGAUUAUAGAAGCAGAGUUUCAUUAGCAUGACAUUUUUCAUAAGUUCAUGUAUGCAGUAUUUUUAUGACACUCUCUACCC
rnacentral:lncRNA from 1 species